rnacentral:rRNA from 1 species
UGCCAGCCGCCGCGGUAAUACGGAGGGGGCAAGCGUUGUUCGGAUUUACUGGGCGUAAAGGGAGUGUAGGCGGUUAUCCAAGUCCGGUGUGAAAGCUUCACCGCUCAACGGGAAGAGGUCACUGGAAACUGGGUAACUAGAGUAAGGUAGAGGCAAGCGGAAUUCCUGGUGUAGCGGUGGAAUGUGUAGAUAUCAGGAAGAACAUCGGUGGCGAAGGCGGCUUGCUGGGCCUUUACUGACGCUGAGGCUCGAAAGCGUGGGGAGCGAACGGGAUUAGAUA